rnacentral:snRNA from 9 species
AUGCCUACCUCGCGUCGGGAUACCGUGAUCAUGCAGGCGGUUCCCCCGGGGUGCGGCUGCUCCAUUGCACUGUGGAGUGGUUGACCCUUGCGAUUAUUUUUAUAUUUUAUAAGUUUUACUUCUACCGUAUGUGACUUGCACACACACACAUU